rfam:Felis catus isolate Cinnamon breed Abyssinian chromosome C2, whole genome shotgun sequence.
UUUUCAGUAAAAGUAUAUCCCAUGCAAUAUUUGGGAUAUACUUAUACUAAAA